rnacentral:ncRNA from 1 species
ACUCAUAGCCCUCUUAGGCAACAACAUGGCCCUGUAAAAAGCAUAUAGCUUUCUUAGGCGUCAAUAUAGCCUUGUAGGCAACUCAUUAUCCGUCAAGGAAUGAAGGCUCGUGGUCUACCACUUUUGCUCAGUAGUUGGUCAAAAUUAUGUGGACUUCAAUCGAUGGAACGACCCACGGUCCAUAGGUCUAAGCGGGAUUUGCCCAUUGUCGUGAUGAUUCAUAUUAACUCGACGGAUCGCCCGACCAUCGAGACGGUGAUGCAUCAUUCAAAUUUCUGCCCUAUCAACUUUCGAUGGUAGGAUAGUGGCCUACCAUGGUAGUGACAGGUGAUGGAGAAUUAGGGUUCGAUUUCGGAGGGGGAGCCUGAGAAACGGCUACCAUAUCCAAGGAAGGUCGUAGGUGCGAAAAUUACCCAAUUCUGACACAGGGAGGUAGUAACAAUAAAUAACAGUACCGCGCACUACUAGUUUGGUAAUUGGAAUGAGUACAAUCUAAAUCCCUCAAUGAGGAUCCAUUGGAGGGCAAGUCAAGUGCUAGCAGUCGCGGUAAUUCUAGCUCCAAUAGCGUAUAUUUAAGUUGUUGUAAUUAAAAAGCUCGUAGUUGGACUUUGGGAUGGGCCAGUCGGUCCGUCCUAGGUGUGCACCGGUCAUCUCGUCCCUUCUGUCGGUGAUGCGCUCCUGGCCUUAAUUGGCUAGGUUGUGCCUCUGGCACUUUUACUUUGAACAAAUUAGAGUGCUCAAAGCAGCCUACACUCUGUAUACAUUAGCAUUGGAUAAAAUUAUAGGAUUUCGUUCUUAUUACAUUCGCGACAAGUGGUGGUUGAAACUCACUCUCUCUUUUUGUCACGGCUACAACCUGUCGUGUGUCCUGAUUCCCAGACCCUUCAAUCGCUGACUUAAACGCUCUAACCGUGACCCCAGGGGAGGCAAGAUUACCCGCUGAGUUUAAGCAUAUCAAUA